CAAGAAGUAGUUUAAUUAAAAUAUUAAUUUUGGAGAUUAAUGAUAAGUAGUCAUAACUUUUUCUUGA
rnacentral:tRNA from 1 species